AUGCAGCUGAUGAGUCCCAGAUAGGACGAAAUGCACGUCCUAAAC
rnacentral:hammerhead_ribozyme from 1 species